GAGUGACUUUUAUGCGCUUCUAACUGUUGCAGAUCCUGAGAAGUUCAAAAGAGCAGCCAGGCGAGAUGAAUGUAACAUUCACUUCAGCAAUGAUCAAAUCCAUACAUGAAAAUUGCCACUGGUUAGGCCGAUGCCUGUGCAUUCUGUAAUAUUGGUGCUUGUGCAAGCCCCUUCCUGCUGUUACCUCAUUUAAUGUUCUCAACGAGCCUGCAACCCUGUGAAGUAGGCACCGUGGUCUCCAUUGUAGAAGUGAGAGUGGUGUGGGUUCUGAGAGCCCGAGUCUUCUUACGGGGUCUGUGGAGCUCACAAGUGGCUGAACCAAGGUUUUAACCUGAGUUUGUUCUGAAGUUCCUGGAAUGGCCCCCUUUACCGAAAGAGCUGAGUGACUUACUGAGCCCAAAGGAAAGGUCACCUCCCCCACGGAGAAGAUCCUCUGUCUUCAUCAUCCCAAAUUGUUGCCCCAGUGUUUCUGCUUAGACAUAUUCAACCUCCCUCAGGCACCUUCUGAGAAACUAUAUCAUGAUGAGAAGGCUUUCUGACUUUAUCAGCUGCCAGCAGAAGGUGCUCCGACAUCGAGGGUGGCUUUCCCUGCUUCAGAUGACUGGUCAGACACACCUUGACAGGGACCGGAGAGAUGGCUGGGCAGCGAAGAGUACAAACCACACGUGCAAGGACUUGAGUUCUGUUCCCAGUGCUCACAUCUGAUGGCUCACAACCACCUAUAACUCUAGCUCCAGGGGAACCCAAGGCAUUUGGUCUCCCGAAGGCCUCUACACUGGUGGGCAAAAGCCCACAUUCGCAUUCAUAUAUACAUCAUUUAAAACACAGUAAAUCUUUAUUUUUAAAUGAAAAAUAAAAAUCACACCGCAGGAAUGCCAACAGCUUUUCUGGUAGUUGAUUCCAAAUCUAAUAAAGUUGAUAACCGA
rnacentral:sRNA from 1 species